AAUCAGCAUAUAUCCAUUUUAACUCUGGAUCUAUCAAAAGUCGAGAGGCAUCAAAUCCCUUGAGAUGCAAACCUUACCGCAAGUUUUGCACACUAAAAAAGAUUUGCACCUCAGGAGAUUUAAUCCCUCUUGGUGAUUGAUAGAUCCAUAGGUAAGUUGGAUCUAUUCUGGUU
rnacentral:pre_miRNA from 1 species